UGUGGGAGCGAGCCUGCUCGCGAUAGCGUUGGUUCAGUUGCAUUGAUCUUGACUGACACGACGCUAUCGCGAGCAGGCUCGCUCCCACA
rnacentral:misc_RNA from 1 species